GUUUUUAACAGUUGCUUUGGCAAAGCAUGUUCACAUUCGUGUUACAUGAAAAACGGCGAAGAAAAUUGUGUUUGUCCAGAUGGACUGGAGCUGGACACAGACGGGAUGACGUGUAUAGGAGUGGAGAAUCUCGUCUGUGACGAUAAAUAUCAAGUCGAUCAUCAGGGAAGAUCGGAGGUGUUAGGUAUGGAAGACAUACUGCUGAAAGAAUGUCAGUCUGUUUGUGUAUUUGAUAACGUGCACUGUACAGCAGCUUUACAUUAGGUGAGACCCAGGUGUCAUUAUAAGCUAAAUUAGCAACAGUUUACA